AUGCAGCAGGUGACGACGGACAUCCCUGUUUUGCUCAAGCGACACCUGGAGGUGGCUUCUGACCUGGAGGCGCUCCCAAACGCUCUGUGCCUUCACACCUCUUCCAUAGCCCAGGCAAGCGCAGGGGUCACUUCUCCUCUCGCGGCAACGYGGUCGCCCACGGCGUGAAAGGCGACCGCCGCCGAGCAGCGCUGCCGUGCCGCCGGACGGAGGUUUGGGGACACCUAGACGUUGUGGCCCCACGGCUGCCCUGACGUGGCUCCUGGUGGGACGCCCGGAGAAGGUCAGUGGCUCCCCAGCUUCUGGAGUGACUCUCUUGAACAAAAUAUCCCCAAACUCAGCGUCUGGUGCUGGCUGGAAAUGUGCGGUAAGGAGGAAGAAAAGGGCUCUUUGAUGUUGGGUUAGAGAUUUGUGGAAGUUCAGCCGGUUCAUGUGCGGCUGGAGAUCACAGUGACAACGUUAUAGAGUCCCCUGAGUUUCAGUGUCGCGUUGGUUUAUCCGUGUCUCCCUUAAUCCCGAGAAUCCUUUUGUACCAAAAAGUAACGCAAGUAGGUAAAGCAAGGAUGGUACCGCAGAAAGGGGUUUAAGAUGAUAUGUUUUAAACUUUAGAAAUGGAAACGCCAUUAAAAGUGUAUUAUUCAGAGUGUGAAAAAUGUAGCCUUUCACUUCUGCUGACGUACAAUUACUUGAUUUUUGAGGAUUACUGUUCCCGAAUUUGUUUUGCUCCUGACACAACACAAACGAGCUCCAGAACUGUUUGAACCAAGGAAGCAAUCGAGGAAUUCAAUACUCCGGUAAAGAAAAACAAAUAGGACUUGCCUGUUAGCAUGCAACGGCCCUAAAAAUAUACAGCGGCAAUUUCAUGGGUGACCGGUGCUGCAAUAUGAUACUGGCGGUUCAGUCACUGAACGCGCGUUUGUAUUCAGUUGCCUGCCUGUUAGCGAAAAGAAGCCGAUGGCUUUUGCAGGGCCGAUGGGUCGGGAGGCAACGGCAGUUUGGCGGGACCUGAGGCUGCUCUGCCGGAGCUGAGCCUUCGUGGCCCGUUUGUUCUGCAGGGAUGGUGCUCGCACGCGAUUAAUUAGUGUUGCUGUUAAUACAGGAUGCGACUCCAUUAGGCUAAUGUGCCUUAUCGGUCAAGCUUAAAUUAAUUAGGUAAUAAAACCAACCCUAAAAAAAAAAAAAAAAAGGUC
rnacentral:lncRNA from 1 species